GAUGAACGCUGGCGGCGUGCUUAACACAUGCAAGUCGAACGGAAAGGCUCCUGCUUGCAGGGGUACUCGAGUGGCGAACGGGUGAGUAACACGUGGGUGAUCUGCCCUGCACUUCGGGAUAAGCCUGGGAAACUGGGUCUAAUACCGGAUAGGACCACAUUUUGGAUGGUGUGGUGGAAAGUUUUUCGGUGUGGGAUGAGCUCGCGGCCUAUCAGCUUGUUGGUGGGGUAAUGGCCUACCAAGGCGUCGACGGGUAGCCGGCCUGAGAGGGUGUACGGCCACAUUGGGACUGAGAUACGGCCCAGACUCCUACGGGAGGCAGCAGUGGGGAAUAUUGCACAAUGAGCGCAAGCCUGAUGCAGCGACGCCGCGUGGGGGAUGACGGCCUUCGGGUUGUAAACUCCUUUCGCUAGGGACGAAGCGUUUUUGUGACGGUACCUGGAGAAGAAGCACCGGCUAACUACGUG
rnacentral:rRNA from 1 species